CUCUCUCCUCGCUCGUGCCCCUCCCUCUCCCACGCGGAUGACGACGGCGACCGUGGCGUGUUUGCUUCCCAUGCUCGUCACAGUCCUCCACCGCGCAGUGACAAUUGGGCUUGCAUCGCCUCACCCUCCUCGACCUCCCGUUCCUGUGGACCAUCCAUCCGGAAACCGCCGGCGGCGGAUGCGACCUCAAGAGGCGGCGUCCUUCCCAGAUCUCUGGGCCAAGUGGCGUUGCCCCUCACACUUCGACGGGAGGCGCCCAUCGCGCAGUCUGACUUCGAGUAGCCGCACCCACCGGGACGCACCUGCUUGUCGGGCUACGACGCCACCCAUCCCUAAACCGCUGGCGGCGGCGGCCGGCAACAAGCCGGCGGCGCCUCCGCCAAGGUUGUGGCGAUGGAACACACACUAAGGUUCCGGGUGCUGUUGGGAGGGGCGAGCGUGCGGCAUGGGCCACUGGACUUUGGGACACAUCUCCGCACACAUAAGCUGGGAUCUUGCGGCAGCGGCGGCGGUGGCGAAUGACGCCCCAUCUUCCCUUAGCCGGUAACGGUGGAUCAACGCGGCGACAGCGCGCACUGCCCCCUCCUCCACAUCUCAAUGUCGUAGUCGUGGCCUUCCUCGUCCAUCGGAGGGACUCUUGGUGGGCAACUUCUUCACCAUGGUUCUCCAGCAACUGCACAAGUAGGUUGGGUCUCGGAUUAGUGCCCCGCGGAAUUCAGAUUGUAGGUGAUGUAUGGCGCUGGGCAGGAGAGGACAUGUCUAUGGGAAACAACUAAAUUUCUCUGUGCCAUGCUACUACAUGAACUACCGAAUCCAUAACCAAGUCUACACACAAGAGUUCAGGGUUGAAUAGAGUUGUUCCGUCCACAUGGUUCGAAAUUAAGGUUUUGUGUAUACAAAGUUUCUGUAUUGUUGGCUUGCCAUAUUCUUCGGUGGUUACCUGCCCAAGCAACAAGCACGAAUUGUGGAAGAAGAGAAUAAAAUUACUAGAGAUUAUAUGUGUUCGAAAUCAAAUGCUAGCCCUGUAAAUAUUAGUCUAACAAAUCAUAUUCUGAUGCACCAAGGUUAUUGGUUUAUCACUUACUUCAAAUUGAUGUUUUAGUGAUGUAUAAAAGUCAAUAUGACUUUGUUAAUCAAGUUGAUCAAAUUUCUUCUUUCUAUUGCACCUUCUUUCUCUGAACCAUUUUGAUCCUUUUGUUCGUAAAGAACAUAACUAACGUAGUUUAACUAUCAGGUCUUCAGUAUAAACCAGCAAGGAAGAAAUGUUCUUCAAGUCUCAAGCAUUGUUGGGUUCUGACGGUGAGAAUAUCUUUUACAGUGAGGUAAGGACAUAACUAGACAUGUACAACAAAUUUGCAAUCAUUAUCAGUGUUCUGCCUAGCUCAUGGUGCCAUAAGCUGCUUCCAUUAUCUUUCAAUGAAUUUUUCAAAAUCUAGCUUUGGUACUGAUGCUUUUGCAUUCUCACUUGUAUUUACUUAACUACUCUCUCCAUUCCUAAAUAUUUGUCUUUCUAGAGAUUUCAACAAGUGACUAUAUACGAAGCAAAAUGAGUGAAUCUACACUCUAAAAUAUGUCUAUAUACAUCCGUAUGUGGUAGUCCAUUUGAAACCUCUAACAGACAAAUAUUUAGGAAUGGAGGAAGUAAAAGCUACCAACUGAGAUACAUCAUUUCCAAGUUUUUUUCGUAUCUACCAGAUUUUGGCUAUCUUGGGUGGUGGGAAUGACGCUGGAGGGUUCUGAGUUAAAUGCCAAGUAUUAUGACAGCAAGAUGGUAUAGCUGCAAGUACUGCUUGCUUGGACAACGAUGUAGUUUAUGAUGGACUUUGGAUAGCAACUUUCGUUCCAAGAUUCUGGAGAUCUCUUUCCUCUUGAUUGAAGUUUGGUGGGGAUGUCGUCCAAAUUCCAAGACUCCUGUUGAAAAGAGGUUGAGUAACAUGAUGACAUUUCUGCCACCGGAUGCACUAUUUUAGAACCUAGUGUGGGUUUGGUCAUCUGCCACCCAUUCUUUUAAAUAUUGGCUUCCCAAAACCCCAUGUAACUAUAUAAUUUGGUAUAAAACAUCAAUGCAUAUUGUUAUUUUUCUUCCGAUAAACAGUUGUUUCCUUACAGCAAUUAGGUAAUAUGUGAUAGUACUAAGUAAUGUGCUACCGUGAGCAACUAUGCUAGAUGCCGGUGUCGGUUCACAACAUUCAUUUCGUUGGGAGCUAUAUUUUGAGGGUCAA